GGAAUUUGUCGCCGAGCGAUUCCUCCUGACGUUCGCCCCCGCCGCACAGAACGAGGCUUCCUCCCUCCCUCGAACGCUAGCAACCCCGCUCCUCCUUCGCCGCCUCCGAGAUCGAGAGUAGCUGCCGCCGCCGCCCCGCCCCCCGCCAUCCGCCUCUCGCGUCGGCCGCCACUAGCGCGGCUCCACCCCUGUCUCCCCCAUUCAUCCCCAGUACCUCCUCGUCGUUCCCCCCUGCGUGCGCCCCUGCGGCUAACCCUAGCCGCCAAAUCGUGUUGCGGAGAGGGGCGGCCGCGUCGCUGAGGGUGUGGACCGGCUUGGGCGUCGCGGAGCCAACUCCACCCCAUCCCAUCCCACGCAGCCAUCCCAUCCCAUCACCGUGAUGGCCAAUGCGCGGGCUUCGGUGGGGCUGGCGUGGAUCUGGCAGAUGGCAGCCAGAUCAUGUGCACGACGGGCGGCUCUGGCGAGUCGGAGGGACGGCGGCUGAGCUUCUUCAUGGCCUGCUGUGGUUCCAGGGAGAGAGAGCCUCGACAGUGAACCUCCGGUGGCGACGGCACCAACACGAGCCUACCGGCGGCGGCGGCGGCGGCGGCUCGGAGCUGCGGGAGCUCAAGCGUUUGGAUACGAUUGAAUCACAGACCAAAGGUUGUGCACAGUGGAUGGACUAAGUUCCUGCUUUAAAAUGGUGACUGCAUUUAGAGCUGGAAUUUGUGCUUGGUCAGAAUACUAUUCUGCCAUGUCAGCAACGAGCGGUUCAAAGCAUAUGGGUCCAAUGAUGUUCACCCCUUCCUCUGCUCUCCCCUAUUCAUCUUCUGGGGUUCCACUUAGGAAACUGAUCGAAAAGGUAUUGAUGGAUUCCAUUCAGCUUCUUAGUCUAGGGCAGUAAUUUUUCGUAUAAUGGUUCCCUUCAUUUCCCACAGUAUAUAAAUCACCACAAUCGCCACUCAAACUCGCCCUCGAGUCCUCACAUCUUACGAUUCCCUUUUACGUCCUUGGCCUUCCUGUUUGGAUCCCUCAAGUGGCUGAUGGGUCGGAUGGUGUGUUACCCGGCGAUCGCGGCUUCUGGCGUCAUCUACAUAUUUUCCAGAGUUUAUACAAAACCGCAUGAGAAAAGAUCCCAUCAAGUAGUACUCAGUCGGCUGUCUCUCUCCACUGUAGAGUCAGCGGGAUGGAUCGGAGGAACUAGCCAGCGUCAACCAGGCAAAGGUACUCAUGGAGGUGGAGAACGAGUAAGGCCGGAGGCUCUCCGCUCACGUCUCUUCUCUCCACUGUAGCAUGCGCAUGUCUCUUCUCUCUGCAGACCUCCUAUUACAUAGGCAGUACCAGAUCUGAAUUGUUUGCUGUCUCAGAUGGUUUAUUCAGAAGUUCGGAUGUCUCUCUAUCCUUCAGGUCUCGGGCCGGCCUUCUGCACAAUCGCGGAGUCCUGGUUCUUUCAUUCCUUUUGUGUGAAUCUGAGAGUUUCAAUUCCCAUAAUGUAACUAGGAAAUUUCUUAUGAUUUCUGCAGAUCAUAUGGAUUUUAGGUGGCUAAUUUUUUUAGGUCCAAGUCUCUGCUUGGAACUGAGAGUUGUACUGGUUUCUGAAGCUUAUGUUGUACUGGUCUUCUCUGCUCUUUUAGGAUCACUACAUAUUUUUUGUGAGGGAUUCACAUGGCUAAAUGUUAACCAUAUCUAUUGCAGCAUUUGAGGACAAAUUCUGCAUCGUACUUUACCGAUUGCUAUGACCAGUUCAGAUAUCAACAUGAAUUUUCUUUAUUUCUGUUAUUCUGUAUGGUCAUAUAUCAUGUAGUCUCAAAUUCUGAAGGCCUUUUAAGGCACUAGCUCCAUUAAUCUUAUAUAAUGUCUAUUAAUCUUUUUGGACACACUCAAUCGCUCUGGUUUCUUCCUGAUGUCUUUUGUUUCUAUGGUUAACACUGAAGCAGGCUAAAUUUAAGAGUUGGUUAACAAGUUUAUUAAGUGAGGGUGUAUCUUCACCUUUUGAGAUUCAGAAUAGAGAUAUUCCUGCUUGAACAGGAGCAUCGUCGGUAAUGAAAAUUAUGUCUUCGCUCUGCUCUUUCUAUACGUAAAUGAACUCAGCUAUGCAUCACAUAUACUUCAGUUAUGAAUUAUAUUAUCAUAAACGUGUAUUUAAUAUCUCAAUGUCCCUGGUUGUUUCAGAAUAAAAUAGGUGUUGUUCAUCGUGGUCCUGAAAUACACAGUUUAUCUAUAUAAUUAUUGUGAUGGACUGAAAUAUGUGAUUGUUGAUAUAUAGCUAAACUCAUGUUGAUCUCUAUUUUUAUUCGUUUGAAUCAUGUUGUUUUGACAUGUCUAUUUUGGUCUUCACUUUAGAUCUUGCGGUGUGCUACCCAUAUGAAAAAUUAGAUCUAAAGAUAUUAUCAUCAUCGUCCUUACAUAAAUAGUUCAUACGGGACAGGCAUGUUUCCAUCUAUUAUUUCGGGUUUAUUUUGCCUCCUAAGUUGGUUACAAUCGUUUUCUAUAAUACGAUAUGCGAACACUUCUUCUACAUGCUUCAGUCAUUUUCAUGAAAGAGACCACGAAGUUAUUGGAUUAAAACAAUGUUUCUUUCUAUAUGCAAGUGCGAAGUGCAGUUUAGUGGAUGAACCAACCCAUAAAUCUGUCGGGGAAUACGUACAUAUAUUUCGGACUCAAUAUUAAGAAAUUGUCAACACAUACCUCAUUUCCACACGUUUGUGCAACAAUGUUUCUUAUAAAUAGAAUAUGUUAAUAUAUAUAUAUACCUUUUUGUUCCCAGAGAUGUCCCACAGCAACGCGUGGGGUAUCAUCUAGUAUGAUAUAUUUUAGUGCGUGAAAUAUAUUGCCUGAAUUAUCUGACAUCCGAAGCUAUGUACACGUUCUGCAGAAUUAGGAAACCAUGAAAUGUCCUGUUGUUUGAGGUUGCCCCCAUUUGCAACUGGACGUUCUGUGUGUGAUGCAAUUUGCAUGUUGUUUUCAGUGCAGCGAGUUCCAGCUGCUUUGUGACAACAAGCACAGGCGAGCGAACCUACCGUUGAGGUGGGUCGCGCAGUAGAGCAAAUGGCAGAGGUGCCCCAAGCACAAGAUCUACGUUGACCGAAAGGAUGGCUGCACCUUCAUUGCUUGAAGAUAACUACUACUUUGUUGGGUUUUCCUAAACUGGAAUGGCGUACGUUGGACUCUAAAUCGAUUGAGUGCCACGGAUAAACGCAGCAGUAUUAUCCGUAUAAUGAAAGGUAUGGAAGGGCAAUGACGAGCCUUUUUGUUUUAGCAUCCUAUCACUUAAGAUUGAUAUGAAAAUUAUGAACAAUGUUUCAGAUUUCAUUGUCCGAAUGCGAAUAACAUGGCAACCUAGGUACUAUCAGUAGUCAAUGGGAAUUAAUGUUCAGGCCGAAGGCCACAUGUUCUACUUUGUUCUGUCCCCUAUUUGGCUUUCAUAAUCCGAUUUUAGCAUUAGGUGAUUGACCAAUAUUAUAUAGUUAUUAGAAGCUCAAUACGUAAUUUAAUGUGGUUUCAGGGUCAAAUGUCUUCCUGGCCUAAAAUUAAUAGAACAUUUGAUUGGCUAUGUUUCUAUAAACUGUUGGAGGACAGACAUGUGUACGUACUGUUUGACUCAUAGCCAAUAGAAGAUAAAUGGCUAAUCUAGGCUAAGAGUUGUACUGGAUCUUCAGUGUGGAACAAUACUGUCAUUUCUUCUUACUUGCGAGCAUUCUUCCUUGAGAUCAUUCUGGUUUCUAUAACACCUGUAGUGAAGUUUCUGGACAAAUCCAACUACAAAUUCUGGGAACGAGUUAAAUAUUCGACCAAUAUAACAUCCAUGCUGAACUAGCUACCUAUCCUGCACAUGGAACACAUCGUCAAGUCAAGCGAGUAAAGAAACUAUUUCAAGACAUGUUAGUUCACCAAUCUCGUGUAUUCAGGUUAUCAUAAGAAGAAGCAAUUAGACAUUGAAUCUUUGCGUCACCAAUCCCAGGAAAAAAAUCCCGAUAUGGUAGAGGACUGACGAUUUCCUAACAAUGGGGGCUUAACUUAGUAUUAUGCAUGAAGCAUCAAUACGGAAAAGCCAUGGAGAGACAAUUUAUAAUUAUCAUAAAGGCACCACCGAUGUCCUAGCUCGACCCACUAGCGCCCGUCACCAAAGUACAAGGAGUUGGACUCGGAGUCCCUAUUGUUGUGAAGGAUUUUAAGGAUUUUGUUGAUGUCGUCAUGUCUGGUGAUGGGUCAUGAGGGGAGGAGGAGGUCCUGGGCCAUUCGAUUAGUGAACUCGACCCACUAGCGCCCGUCACCAAAGUACAAGGAGUUGGACUCGGAGUCCCUAUUGUUGUGAAGGAUUUUAAGGAUUUUGUUGAUGUCGUCAUGUCUGGUGAUGGGUCAUGAGGGGAGGAGGAGGUCCUGGGCCAUUCGAUUAGUGAACUCGACCCACUAGCGCCCGUCACCAAAGUACAAGGAGUUGGACUUGGAGUCCCUAUUGUUGUGAAGGAUUUUAAGGAUUUUGUUGAUGUCGUCAUGUCUGGUGAUGGGUCAUGAGGGGAGGAGGAGGUCCUAGGCCAUUCGAUUAGUGAAGUGAGGUUUUUUGCUUUCCGUUGCAACGCACGGGCAUUUGUGCUAGUAUCAAGACAAUAUAAGUAUUGACGAAAAUAAAUGGAAGGUAUAGUUAUCAUUGGGGAUUUGAAACAAUUAUAUGUGCACAAAUUGUGUCAGCACAAGGAAACAAAUCACACUGAUGGCUGCAUAUUAUCCUGCAAGGACUUGGCUUGUACUAAAUUACGAGUGCCAUGAAGCAUAUGUACGUCAUCGCUCAUCUUUCAGAAUGUUAUUGAUGCUUCUAGAAUUUGAAUAAACAA